GCAGAGCAUUCUGGCAUUUGGUGUAGCAGGCAUCUCUCAUGAUGAUCAUGAUGACUGGCAUGUCUUUGUCUAUAAGAGCUAGAGGACCGUGCUUCAGCUCCCCAGCCAAGAUGCCCUCUGAGUGCAUGCAGGUGGCGUAGUUGAAACCUCGACCCAUGACCAGAAGAGACUUCUGCUGAUACAGUUCAUCUGCAAUGGCCUUUAUCUUCUGAUCCAGGGCCAGCACCUUCUUUAUCAUCUCUAGGAGAGUAGGAGAAUGUGGAGAUAUUAUUGUAACAGUAGCACCCUGAAGCCGUUGAUGAUCUCCAGUCUUCUCGCCUGUAGGGAGAGCUUGUCCUCACUCAGCAUCAGGCCAAACAUGCUCCAUCUGUAGGGUCUGGAUGGCCCUCACUGGGUCUUCACCAGCCUGCCGGUUCAUCCUAUGGAUGGAGAGUUUCCCAUCGGUCACCAAAGCAAUGUCAUCGUCCUCCAUGUACAACACCUUGUUGGUGUGUUCAAUGAUGGCACUGCAGACAUCUAUCUCACCUGGCAUCAGAUGCAAAGUAAUACUCCACAGCCCUGCCAUCCCCCACAGAGUUGAUGGCAUUGGAGCAGUCGGGACGAUUAUGGCUGUUCUUCUCCUGGAGUCCAUCCUUGAAGUGAGCUACAGGGUCAAAAGUCAGAGGUCAAGGGUCAGAGGACACACAGUGACUUUAAAUUACUGAAACAAUCAAGACGUCACUUGAAUUCUUCCCCUCAACUUCCAGAUGUUGUUCCAGAUGAUGUCAGGUCACUGCUGUGGAAAUGGGUUUGUUAUGUCGUGAAACUGAUGUGACUGGCCACUUACUAACUGAGGGGGGAAGGGAGGACCAUCUCUUGAAUUUACAAUAACACUGGCAUGACAAAGAGUCAACAUGGUCUUAUUCAGUAAUUUUGCUAUGGUAAGUUAUAUAAUGUGUAAAGAACAAAGCACUAAUAAAAAAAGUGUGAUAAUAGAGCCAUUAUAACCAUUAAAGGACACACCCGGCUUUGUUCCCUCCUAGCCCCAAACCAUCUCACUCUGCUCUGGACUUAUGGAACCAUAAAUUUUAAGUAAACAGAUAAGGCGGUCAUACGCACAGUAAAGAUGAACCUAAAACAAAACAAGCAGGACAUUGCUAACAAUAAAUAAUCAUAAAGACAGAUGCUGCCAUUGUAACACAAGUAUUUUGAAAGACCACAAGAGAAACUCUUCUAUCUUAAACUCUGUCUCAGAGGCUGGGAACAUUGCAGGAACUAUCCAAAUUAAUGGACCACUACCCUCUAUAACUACACUUGACAAUUCCUAGCAACACAAACGGCUUUCUAAGAAAGUUUUUUUAACAGAAUUAUUGCACAAUUAAUAACAGAACCACAAAACAACUUCUGUUCUACAGUUAGCCAAGAGUGUCACUUUGAUUGGGUCAAUGUGGAUUUGUUCAAUAAAUCAAAUCAAUAGUUAGAGCAACAUUACGCUUUCUCCCUGGAUUAGAAUCCAGAGAGAGAAAAUGCUCCCUUCCUAGGAUACAUGUUUUGAGGUUUUGUCUACUUUCUGCAUAUCUUGCCAAAUCAGAAACAGUUGUAAGCUAUGGCACAUUUAUUAAUAACCACCAAAACAGUGAAUUUAUCCUACUUACAGGUACACCUGCAUAGCCAUGACCAGUUUUAGCGUAUUCCUCUGUGCCAAAGAGCUCCAUUGUUGCCCAAAAAACUAUUUAAAACAUAUGAAUGGGCCUCACCAGUGCCCUGGGUAACAUGUUCAUUCAUUACACUAAACAUAGGCACUGUAGUUUAUUUUCAGUCAACACCAUCCUGCUGCUGUAAAUACUUGGCAGCGCAGCAGAUCAUCUGAAAAUAGUCCACAACAAAUAUUUACUUCUGGCACCCUUUCAAGAUUAACUACUUCGGUAGGAAUGAAUGGGCGUGGGGCUGAGAGCCACAGACAGGUUUGGGAAGUCAGAAUUUAUAGUUAGAUGGAGAACGGCAUUGUUGGUUGUUGUGUUUUAAAUGUGUUUAAGUGGCGUAAGUAAUACACGAAAUGAAG